rnacentral:lncRNA from 1 species
AGCAAGUGGUUGUCAAAUUGAGACUCAAUCGAACAAAUCUCGAACCAUUAGCUUGCAAGGAAUGAGAUCCAGAUUGAGAAUUAGCUCAAUUGAUUAGAUCUACCUAACAAAUUGACUCGAUUAGAUUCGUCACAGCUGAAUUCACACUCGUUUAACCAAGCUCUGAUACCAUGUGAAGAAGCUCAGGUAUGGCGGUUAUUGAAUCAAAGAUGUGAGAGGAAGAAGAAGAAAGAAAAAGAAAGGAGAAGCAGAAGCAGACGGUUACUUCAUUCUGCGGAGAAAAAUG